rnacentral:rRNA from 1 species
UGAGGAAUAUUGGACAAUGGAUGGAAAUCUGAUCCAGCCAUGCCGCGUGAAGGAAGAAUGUCCUAUGGAUUGUAAACUUCUUUUGUAUGGGAGCAAUAAGGUCUUCGUGAAGACUGAUGAGAGUACCAUACGAAUAAGCAUCGGCUAACUCCGUGCCAGCAGCCGCGGUAAUACGGAGGAUGCGAGCGUUAUCCGGAUUUAUUGGGUUUAAAGGGUGCGUAGGCUGUUAUAUAAGUCAGUGGUGAAAUAUUCGGGCUCAACCGGGAUACUGCCAUUGAUACUGUAUAGCUGGAAUAUGGUUGCUGUGAGUGGAAUGUGUGGUGUAGCGGUGAAAUGCAUAGAGAUCACACAGAAUAUCGAUUGCGAAGGCAACUCACAAAGCCAUUAUUGACGCUGAUGCACGAAAGUGUGGGGAUCAAACAGG